CGGGGGGAGCAAGCGUUGUUCGGAGUUUACUGGGCGUAAAGGGCGCGUAGGCGGCCUCUGCAAGUCGACUGUGAAAUCUCCGGGCUUAACCCGGAACGGUCAGCCGAUACUGCAGGGCUAGAGUGCAGAAGGGGCAACUGGAAUUCUCGGUGUAGCGGUGAAAUGCGUAGAUAUCGAGAGGAACACCUGCGGCGAAGGCGGGUUGCUGGGCUGACACUGACGCUGAGGCGCGAAAGCUAGGGGAGCGAGCGGGAUUAGAUACCCCGGUAGUCCUAGCCUUAAACGAUGAAUGCUUGGUGUCUGGGGUUUUAUAGUCCCCGGGUGCCGUCGCUAACGCUUUAAGCAUUCCGCCUGGGGAGUACGGUCGCAAGACUG
rnacentral:rRNA from 1 species